CCCCUCAAAAUUCUUAAAUUUUUUAAUACCCCGCUUCAAGAUCCCCUUCGUUCUCUUCUUCCCUUCUCUCUGCAAACCCUAAUCACGAUACCAUCUCUGCUAUACACCUCAACAACUCAUAUAUCACAAAAUCAUUGGGAUAAUUUCUAGGGUUUUUUUAAACACUCAUUCGACUCUUUUCUCUCCCCCCUCCCCUCUCUCUCUAUUUUGUGCUGUGAUAUCUCGCUUCCAUUUAUGCCGCCGUCUCCGUCUCCGUCAAAACGAGGAUAUGAGACAGUGCUUGAUCUACGAUCGUCCAGUCAUUGAUGCCCGGUUAAUCGGAGUGAAUACAUCGUAACAGAAAAAUUGUUCUUAACCUUGCCGGAUUCGAAAAAGCCGAUGUGGCACAUCCACGAGUAUGAGGUGAAGAGCGACGUCCUUUUCCUUCCCGGCGUCCCUGGUCCGGUUGAGCGGCAAGAUUGGGAGAAAGCGGCGAAAACUUACGGGAAGACGAUUCACUUUUUUGGCAGGUGGAUAGAGGCGAUUAGCUUCCCUAGGUCUCCCACAGGUGAUGAUGGCUCUAACUCGUGAUGGCCAACUUUACCCUAAUCUCGCUAAAGAUGUGGAGUCUCGCUAUGUUGAUUCGUUCCAAAACUUCUAUGGCAUGAUAGUCAUUUGAAUUGAGUACACAGCCUGCUGCUCUGGUAUACCUAUAAACUUCCCUCCAUCCCAUGGCCCGCCUCUCCAAUACGCCUUUGAACCACGCCAUAUGAAAGCUUGUGGUGGCUGAUCUUCAUAAAGUCCAACAACAAAAUCUCUAGGGAUUGGAUCAUUUUAACUCUUCCAUGAUGUCAUUAGAUCUUUUCCAGAUGUUCCCAGCCUCACGCCUGAUAACAGAGUGUUACCAGGAUAGUCAAAACUCGCCCACAAAGUCAACCCUGAGAUGGUACACCGAAGAGUUGUCUGUUGAUGUUAUUACUGGUUGGUUUGCAACAACCAUACUAAGCUUACCUCGUAUUUCUACUACUCUAGGGACGCUUUGAUUUAGUGUCGAAGAAGCUCCUAUCAUUGUUAUUCUAAGAGACCCCGGCGUCAAACCUGUAGUCUACCAUGGCUCAAUCAACAAUUCAAGACUUAUUGAUGUCAUGGAACAAAAUAAACAUGAAGAUGCAUAAAUCAUUUUUGUCAUUUUUCACACCUAAUAUGAUAUUUAAUUAUUUAUUUUUUCAGUAGUGCUUCCCCAAUUAAGAAGUGUUACAUAUAUGGAGCUUGGUUGUGAUCCAAAAGGCUAUUCACAUGCUGGAAAUAACACCACAGUUUGGUAUUUUGUUGUUCUUAUUGGAAGACAAAGCACAGACUCCCUAAAAUGCGUGAAACAUGCAUAGGGUCCAAGAGAUACUAUCAGAUGGUGAAAAUGUAAAUCAAGUUGACCAACACCAAGCUGCCAUGUCAACAUUGAAGGAAAAAAGACUCACAUUUGCCUGGGUGGAUAGUGAAGCACAAAAGUGAUAGCUCUUUGUCCACACAAUCAUGAGGUUCCCAUCUAUAAAUCAGUUGAAGAAAAUUGAGAAAGGAUUCAUGUGGGCAUCUGAAUUCUAGCAUAUGACAUCUGUGGACCGAAUGGCAGGUGUAAACAUUCCAUCUUUGGCUGCUAUGGAGCAGACUCGAAUGCUAGCACACACUUUAGCUUAGAACACCAAUCCAAAAUUUUAGGCAUGCAAAUGGGGGCUUGGAAAAUGAAUAUCAACAUCAAUAUAAUGCAGGCCCUUCCUCUACCUCUUAGGCAGAUCAGUAUGCACAUGAAGAGGCAAGUAAAACUUUUCUCCUCUUAAUCUUAUCAACAGGUAUCCAAUAAUCAAUGCGUGUGAAUGUGUUGGACAAAAAGAUUUCAUUUUCAACCAGUUCUUAUGUGCCAGGGCAGCCUUCCAGGUCUGGUGGUAUGUUUUGUACAGAUUGGAAUCUGAGAAGCCGAUAGGUUGCUACAAUGCUUCUGUUCAGGAACUGAUUGUAAUUGAUGAUCUUCUAUCUGCUUUAGUUGGAAUUGAGGGACCAUAUAUUUCUAUCAAUAGAGUUGGAGGGAAUGAUAACUCUAUUAUCUUCAAUGUUGACGGAUCUAUGGAUUUGGCACUCCAGGAAUCAUCGAAAAGAAUAUUCCCUUUAUGCAAGAGCUAUUUGAUUAUCAAUCAAUUUGUGGAAUCAAGAUAACAGUUCAAGUCUGGAUUAGUUAACCAUGCCUUUGCUGCUACACUAAGGGCCCUUCUUUUGAUUAUGAAGCCAUGGUGGCACAGCUUAAACAUCAAUUUCGAAUAGGGAGACUCUCUAUACAUGGAUUAUGGUUCUAUUGUCAGAUUCAUAUUUGUUGCCUUUUUACAUAUUUGCAACCAAUGAUGGGAUCAAUGCAAGCAUUAUCAACAGUAAUAAAAAAGGCAUCAGCAAGUAAUUUUGUGGGUUCAGCAGUUCUUAACCUUUUACAAAGUCAGGCCAAGAUAAUGGCUGGUAACUAUUUGGUGAGAUCAUUGCUUGAGAAGAUGAUAGAGUCUAUAAAUUCUACUUAUCUUGGCAUACUUGAAAGGUGGGUGUAUGAAGGAGUAUCCUUUAGGAGCUGUCCUUGAGGCCACCAAAAAUACUUUGAUUCAGGGUAGUACAAAACACUCAUUGGGAGGUGAGUGUGGGCGAGAUCACGUUUUGUGACAACAGUUAAAUUCUGGUCAAGUCAAAGUCAAACAAAGUCAACAAGUCAAACCGGUCAACUCAGUUAACCGUUGUAUAUUAGGGUUUACGUUAUGUAAUUACUAUGCAACUCGCUAUUCUAAUGAGAAAUCAUCAAAUGAAAAUUUCGUAAA